UCAGACCAAAUUCACAAGUUUACAGCCGUUACUUUUUAGUCAUUCCUGUUGAUAUAUCCUAAAUAUUCACCCAUUAUUCAUUAGUUUAUUAUUAUAAAUUCUGUAUCAUAUGGUUAGAAAAUGAUUUGCUAACAAAUGGAUUUAAUAGUUUUUUAAAAUGAAAAACUUAGAAUGGUUUUUAUUCAUUCUUUGACAGUUUCAUAUAUGUAUACAAUGUAUCUUGAUCAUAUCUAUCUCCAACACCCACCCUUACUCCCACUGGGUGUCUCCCAACAUGUCCUCUCCUACCUUCACGUCCUUUGCUUUUUCUCUUACAGCCCCGAGUUCCAGCGCAGCAUAUUGAAAUGUUACCUGAUGGCUUGAUCUGAAGGUAGCCAUAGCUGAAGUGAGUAGACCUAGAAAGGAGGAGGAGGAAGAGAAGGAGGAAAGAAGGAGAAGACCAGGGUGGGUGGCUACUUCUCUGCCUCACCCUGUGAGUGACAGCUCCUCCAUUAGAAUCUUAGAUGGAGAGCAGUUUUCAAUUCCUAGUCUCAUUCUUCUGGUAAUGGAGGAAAAGAUUCUCUCUGGUAGAAGUAAUCAUCUUUGGAGAAAUAUUUGCAUAAACUAUGGGAAGUACAUGGAGGAGCUCAGAGUAACUGAUCAGGCUGCCAUCUUCUCUGGAGAGCAGGUAGAAGCAUCUGGGACUACAGGAGUCCAGCUCCUUGUCUUCAGGGUGAGCAAACAAGCAGCUUCCAACAGAUGUCUGAUACACCAACUCAACUCAUCAGGACACACAGGCUUGGCAUCUUGUUCAACAUCUGGAUGAUACCCAUUUUCUGAACAUCGAUGGAACAUGGCCAUGCACAUGUGUGAGCUUGGCACUCAGAUGGUGGACACUUAGGACUCUGAAAAUGGACUUGUGGCUCUAGGGUUCACAGGAGCUGUUUUAUCACAAUGCCCAUAAAGAAGCAGGAAGAAUGUACCAUAUUGGAAGCAGAGGGAAAGUGUUCAUCAUGCACUGAAUCUGCUCUCCCUUGUUGCUGGACUUCUAUAUAAAUCAUGUUGUUUAUCAAUUACUCAGUCCAGAGAAUUUUAUUACUAACUGUCUGAAGAGGCUAAGGCAGGUCAGCAGUCAAAGAAGAAAGCUAUAUGUAAUGAUUUGGAUGAUUCUUCAGAAAUAUUUAUUGCUCUCCUCCUGUGGAUGGGUGUUUUGCUAUGUCAUCUAGACUGGGUUCAAACUUACCAUCCUCCUACCUCAUGAUCUGAGUGCUGCCAUUACAGUGGGUUGUCCUGAGAAGCUCACAGCAUCCACAGCUCAGGAGGGUACAACAGUUUCCAUAUUACUGUGAAGGUUUUGGAUCAACUUCCCUCAUUCCAGGAUGCUGCUACUUGACUCCAAGCAUCAUCAUGGUCACAACCAUCACCACCAUCCUUGGUCUUCAAUCCUGGCAAAGAGAUCAAUCAAGGCAGAGAAAGGUAAGCUAAUUUGCUUUUGAAGGGCUUGGACUUGGGCAUGGUCUGGCUUUAGGGCUUAUACCUGAGUAUAAACCAUUACCUAAAACACAAGAAGAAUCAGGAACCAUUUCAGCCAACCUACUUAAUGAUCUUGCUCACUCAAGUACCACAGGGAAAUGACCCUCCUAAAAUGAUAGUGUGUUAGUGGCAGCUCAAUUUUAGCUUGAGGUUGUCUCUUGUGUAGAUUCAUCAUGCUCCUGAAAUUCAGGAGAAGGCUGAAUGCUGAUUGAAGUAGCUGUUGGAUGGCUUCCUAUUUGAGGGCACAGGUCUGGUCUGGGAUUCAAAGAUGAAAACAUUUGGCCUUUGAAUAUGCAUGGUCCUCGGAUGGCCCACAGUUUGCUGGAGAAAACAAAUUAGCAGAAAUACUUCAGAUAACUCCCUCUGAAGGAGGCAUGGCAAAGGACAAGGAGAAGCCCAUGUCUUCCCAGGGGAGGAUGAAUUCAAUCCAGGCCUGAUCCUGUCCAUGAUGAUGGGAAUGGCAUUCCAAAGGAACGUUUGCAUAAUUCCUCUACAAAUCCUAUUUAUCUUUCGAAAUGGCGAGGAGAAGAAACUGCGUUGGGUUUCAUAGACCUGGGAGACAGUGCAAAGUCUCUGCAUACUUUCGGGACAUUGGCUUUGGAAUCUGGGAUGACUUUAAGAGAGAAACUGUUUUCGCUUCACUCUUUUUCAACAUUGCUAGUAGGUUUUAGGAGAGUGGAAAUAAGGCUCUGAAAACUUGAGCUUCCUAAAAGCUGAGCAAAUAAAGCAUUCAUUAAUUGGUCUCUCCCCAAUGCCAACCAAGCACUCUGAAGAUGAAGCCUAAGAAGAAACACGAGACGAAGUAAAUCCAAGCUUUGAGAAGCCUCAUGCUGAGAGAACGAAAGGACACAUGAAGGCGAGAGCUUAUCACCCAGCAGGUCACUGGGUUUCUGAUGAGACAGAAGAGUCCCCAUAUUCAGUCCUUGGAGGAUAGCUGAGAUCCAGGAGGCAAAGAGGCAGAGAAAGCAAGGCUCCAGAGAAAAAUCAAGAUGGGGACUCGAUCACGAUCACUUCCAUCCACAGUCAAACUACAAUGUUUUCUCUGAUUCGAACAAACCCCACAGAAAAGUUACAAAACCAGAUGUAGGAGCCACUUAAAGGAAGAAAAUAUGACUCAUGGUUGGAUGUGUACGAUGCAUGAAAUGAUAAUAGAGCUGCAGAAUACCUCCAAUUAGUAAGCAUCAAGAGAUGCAAA